AAGCAAGCCACUGCAAACUAUUUGUAUGCACCAAGAUCUAGCUGAUUGGAUUAGAGUCUGUGCCAGGCACUAGCAAACACCUUAACAUCGAUCUGAAAAGACUGAAAAGAUUCAGAAGAAUCUAGAAUUGUGAAUCAAAGUGACUCUGGCCAGAAGAUGAACAACUGUGGAUUUCUUCAGUAUAACUGGUGUGUGCCUGUUCUUAGACAUCAGGUACUUAUAAGAACAACUACUCUGGCCCCAAGUACAGCUUUCAAACGACAAACACUUCACACAGGGUCAGCCCAAGGAGGUGAAGGGGACUUCCAGGGGAUGAACGCCAACUUCAGAAAAAGAAAACGGAAGAAGGGUGUCUAGACGGCAG